GACAGAGGGUGCUAGCGUUGUUCGGAAUUAUUGGGCGUAAAGGGCGCGUAGGCGGUCACAUAAGUCGGAUGUGAAAGCCCAGGGCUUAACCCUGGAAGUGCAUCCGAUACUGUAUGACUUGAAUCCUGGAGAGGGUGGUGGAAUUCCCAGUGUAGAGGUGAAAUUCGUAGAUAUUGGGAGGAACAUCGGUGGCGAAGGCGACCACCUGGCCGGAGAUUGACGCUGAGGCGCGAAAGCGUGGGGAGCAAACAGG
rnacentral:rRNA from 1 species